rnacentral:sRNA from 1 species
AUAGCAUGCUUCCUAGAGUUUCAGGAUCUUCCCUUAUUUUAGUUCACACUAACAUUUUGUUUUCUGGUUGAUUUGGUUAGGUUUUGAGCCUGUGGUGAUAGAAAAUGUUUUGGAAGGUGACGAGCUGCGUACAGACCUGAAAGCAGUGGAGGCUAAAGUCCAGGAACUUGGGCCUGAUUGCAUUCUGUGUAUUCAUUCUACUACAUCCUGUUUUGCUCCAAGGGUGCCUGAUAGGAAGAGCUUCAGCUUCACCUUCUUUAGAUGUCCUUAUUACUUUAUUGUCACUUGGAUCAAAUGGCUAUAAGAAGCUACUAAAAGAAAGAAAGGAAAUGUUUUCAUAUUUGUCCAACCAAAUAAAGAAGUUGUCAGAAGCCUACAAUGAAAGACUGUUGCAUACACCUCACAAUCCCAUAUCUUUAG